UACGUAGGGUGCAAGCGUUGUCCGGAAUUAUUGGGCGUAAAGAGCUCGUAGGCGGUCUGUCGCGUCGGCUGUGAAAUCCCGAGGCUCAACCUCGGGUCUGCAGUCGAUACGGGCAGACUAGAGGUAGGCAGGGGAGAGCGGAACUCCUGGUGUAGCGGUGGAAUGCGCAGAUAUCAGGAAGAACACCGGUGGCGAAGGCGGCUCUCUGGUACGUGACUGACGCUGAGACGCGAAAGCGUGGGGAGCAAACAGG
rnacentral:rRNA from 1 species